GAUGAACGCUGGCGGCGUGCCUAAUACAUGCAAGUCGAGCGAACGGACGAGAAGAUUGCUUCUCUGAUGUUAGCGGCGGACGGGUGAGUAACACGUGGAUAACCUACCUAUAAGACUGGGAUAACUUCGGGAAACCGGAGCUAAUAACGGAUAAUAUUUUGAACCGCAUGGUUCAAAAGUGAAAGACGGUCUUGCUGUCACUUAUAGAUGGAUCCGCCCUUCAUUAGCUAGUUGGUAAGGUAACGGCUUACCAAGGCAACGACGCAUAGCCGACCUGAGAGCGUGAUCGUCCACACUGGAACUUAGUGGCGACCCUGAAUCCGACGAAAGUCAGCGGUAGGGAGGCGGGCGCACUGGGCGGAAGCCGGCCGGAGCAACGCCGCGCGAGUGAUGAAGUUCGGCGCAGCGUAAAACUCUGUUAUAACGGAAGAACAUAUGUGUAAGUAACUGUGCUCAACUUGACUAUACCUAAUCAGAAAGCCACGGCUAACUACGUG
rnacentral:rRNA from 1 species